rnacentral:miRNA from 17 species
CUUUCAGUCAGAUGUUUGCGAC